UUUCUCCCCUUUGGCCGCCACUCCCUUUUUCGAUCUCACACCACGCACCCAAAUGCAAAACUCUGCCGUCUCUCCUUCCUCAUGCCACACUACGGCCCGUCGCCAGCAAGCAGGAGCAGCGGUGAGAUGGCUAAGUGUGCACCUCAGGCCAGGGCAGUGACGAAGGUGGUGGCCUCUUGUGCCGUGAGCGAUUCAAAAGUACAUGCUCGUCUUCGUUCGUGCUGGUGGUGAUACAGUAUUGGUGCUGCCGAACCCUUCUCUUGCCAGGCGUUGCCGUAGUCCUCUCUGCUAGAUCCUCCAUCGAUGUCCGCUGCUUCUCUCUAGCAGCAGCGACUCGGUAGCUGCCACCGUCGCCCCUACCCCCUAGUGCUGUGUUCUCUAUCUGCAAGAUCUUUGCGGUGAUGGGAACCCACCAGGUGCGUGUGCAGCCAAAGGGGUGCCAACAGAUGGAUGUUGCAUUUAGUUCUACAUUUGGAUCUUGGUGAGAUUACUGGGAAGCCAGCGUUGGAGACGAAUGGAGAACAGAGCAGAAAGCAGGAUCUGGAUGGAAGUUUGAGUUCCACUUGGAGAAGAGAAGUGAUGAAAACAUAAUGGCAAAAUGUGUGAACUGUGUUUGUAGUCUACUACAACGUUGUACUAGCUUUGAUUUUAGCUUGACCGAUACAAUUGCUUUUAGGAGUGAUCAAUGUUUCCAUAUUUUUAUGUGAAAAAUACUAGAUUACAUAAUGUAUUUGUUAUCCGGAUUGUAAUAAAGUG